UCUCCCCCCCCCACUCGGUCGGCGUCCAAAUAUUGAAGAUUCUUUCUCUUCCUUCCUAAUUCCUAUCUUGCCUCAAGAAGAAGAGGAUUUCUCGCCGGUCGAGUCUCUUGCUCCGCCGUUGUUUAUUUCUCGGGUAAACAAAACCACAAAGAUAUACAUUUGCAUUUAUUUCCAUUCUAGGUUUGUUUACUUGGUGUAUGAUCUAAACUGUUAUUCUAGGGUUUUCUUUUUGAGAUUUCGUCGUGUUUUAUAGGGGUUUUGGGUCGCAUUAAUUUUUAUCAUCUAAUCUUUCUAUUUCACUGCAGAUUUGUAGAUUAGGGUUUGAUGGAUUGUAUUAAAAAUGUAGCUGAAGAAAAUAUUUCCCCACCUGAAGAAAUCUGAUACUGUUGAAGCAUUACUAUGUACAAAAGAUUGGCUUCCUACUAUUACUACAUUUAGAGUAAGAUUUACUAUAUUCGCUUUUAUUUUUUUUCUUGUAUUAUUUUUCUUUAUUUAAAUGUUUGUAUUAUUUUUCUUCAUUUAAAUAAUUAAAUGUUUGUAUUAUUUUUCUUCAAUACUCAAUAGGUUCCGAUGGAAAACUCCGAGUCGUAGGGGGAAACUAUCGAGACCGAGUUUUGAUCGAAUAGAAUCCAAAAGCUUAAUGCAAGAAAGCCAAGAAUGCAAGAUGCUAGCUAGGAUUGAAAACUUGAAUUUCAUUUAAUUUUCUAUUUUAAUUUGUGUCUUUGUUUGUUGUUGUUAGAGUAUUUAAUUUUCUAUUUGAAUGAUUAUUUGUUUAUUGAAGUGUUGCUUGUUGUUGUUGAUUGCAGGAAUUUAUUUAAAAAAUAUAAGGAUAUUUUUGCAUUUUUUUUAAAAAAU
rnacentral:lncRNA from 1 species